UUCAAAUUGAAUUAAAAGAACUAACAAAAAGGCUUGUUUGAUUUAAAGCCCCAACUUCGGCAAUAAAAGAACGCGCAUACUUCACGCUGUUCAGUCUUUGAUACGUUCUCUCAACGUUCCCCUAGACGAACUUAAGAAUGAAUGAAUAGCAUUUUUUACGCACGAUUUUCUUUGACGCUGUUCCAAUUAUUUGUUGAGUCCGAUCACCGCAUUUGGUCCAGUUUUGAUUUGCAAAGGCAUCAUGCGACAUACGAGUAGUGUGUUUUGUAGGGCGGGCAUUUAUGCAAAUUUUGAAAUUCCUUUGCCUGCACGUGGUAACCGGACAUGCGCAUUUCUAGAUCGACGUUUGCCUCGCCGUGGAAGCUUGCAACGUUUCGUCACUUGCUGCUCUGACCUUGCGUCACGAAACAUCUCCCGUGAGAGCAUCCAAAACGUGUCACUUUCAACAGUUUCAACGAGAGAGGUGUAAUGAUUAAACAGUCACCACGUCUCCAUGUUCCAGGCCACCACUGUAACAGGAGUGUAGACUGCAAUCUCCUCCAGUGAAAAGGCUACUAGUAGAGACUAAUAGAGUAGUAGAGACUCAUUGAUCCCAAGUUGCAAGGUAAAACAUAAUUGUUAAAGUAGCUCCUUAUCCCAUAUUUUGGAAAUGU